rnacentral:rRNA from 1 species
UACGUAGGGCGCAAGCGUUAUCCGGAAUUAUUGGGCGUAAAGAGCUCGUAGGCGGUUUGUCGCGUCUGCCGUGAAAGUCCGGGGCUCAACUCCGGAUCUGCGGUGGGUACGGGCAGACUAGAGUGAUGUAGGGGAGACUGGAAUUCCUGGUGUAGCGGUGAAAUGCGCAGAUAUCAGGAGGAACACCAGUGGCGAAGGCGGUUGCCUGGAGCUUUGCUGACGCUGAGGCGCGAAAGCGUGGGGAGCGAUCCGG